rnacentral:rRNA from 1 species
UACGAAGGGGGCUAGCGUUGUUCGGAAUUACUGGGCGUAAAGCGCGCGCAGGCGGUCUUCCAAGUCAGUGGUGAAAGCCCGGAGCUCAACUCCGGAACUGCCAUUGAAACUGUUAGACUUGAGGACGAGAGAGGUGAGUGGAAUUCCCAGUGUAGAGGUGAAAUUCGUAGAUAUUGGGAAGAACACCGGUGGCGAAGGCGGUUCUCUGGGACGGUACUGACGCUGAGACGCGAAAGCGUGGGGAGCGAACAGG